rnacentral:lncRNA from 1 species
GCACACAACACAGGGCGAGACUGGGGACACCUGUGAGCAUCUGUGAGCCUCUUCACUAGUCUGGUGAGUGUUCCCGUGCUCAAGGAGCACAACAUUAAUUAGCAAAUGAAGAAGGUCCUGAGAAAGAGGCUGCGAAAGAAAAGAAAGGUGAGGAGCCAAGAUGUCCCACUAGAUGCAGCCAAGGAGAGCUUCUCCAAUGGAAAGAGACCAGACCAUCAAGUAGACUGGCAUAUUCUGAAAAGAUCUCUGGAAAGAAGGCAUAGAGACUGGACAGAGGGAAGUUUCAAGCCCUGGGCUGAAAGAGGAGGAAUUUGGGAACCCUGCAUGGGAUUGCCUAGCACAAAGACUUGUUCCUGGCUCUAAGGUGAAGGGGUAAGUGAAAUAGGCAUGGAGUGACCCAUUCUUGCUAUGGACCUCUGGAAUCUUAGCUGUGGGAGAUGCCAUGACCCCCGUGGACAUCUGAGUUGGCAGGGAGAACUUCCUGGGCAGUUGGCAGAGACAGAACUCCAACCUGUGUGUAGCACAGCCAUGAAUGCCCAUACCCCUAUACUCUCUCUACUCCUCCAGAUGGCUGUAGCAUUUGUUAGUUGCUGGACCUAGACAGAGCAGGAUUGUCUUGUCCAUUGGAUGGGGCCAGUCUGAUCUGAGUGUCCCUUUCCCAU